GAGCAGCCAGUGAGCUUCAAGGAUAUUUGCAUGCAGGGACGCUUCUUGCAUUGAAAAGGGGAUCGCCUAAUUCCUCCAGCUAGAAACCCCUUUGUCCCAGGAAGCUGUGAAUUCCUCACCAUGGAUCAGCUCUUGAAACUCUUCCUAUUUCUCGCUUGCUGUUGCUGGGGUAGGAGGGAGGACUUCAACAUGUUUUAUUAAAAAUAUUUCUCUAGUCCCCCCCCCCCCAUUUAUGCCAUUUCCACUUAACCUUUUUGCUACAACUUUUGGUUCCAGGUUGUGAGGCGCAGUUCACGAUGACUCAGCCGCCCUUCGUCUCGGCCUCCAUGGGAGAAACAGUCAGGAUCUCUUGUACAAGAAGCAGUGGGGGUAUAAGAAGCAAGUGGAAUUCCUGGUACCAACAGAAACCCAACAGCGCUCCAGUACUGCUAAUAUACAAGGAUGAAGAGAGAGUGUCGGGGAUCCCAGAACGAUUCUCUGGUUCUUAUGACACCUCGGCCAACUCUGUCACCUUAACCAUCUCCAACAUCCAAGCAGAAGAUGAAGCUGACUACUACUGUCAAGCUGAAGACAGCAGCACGAGCACAAUGGUAGAAGCUGAUGAGGAAGUGAGACAAAAACCUUCCUUUAGGUGAUUAGCUCUACUUGGUAUUGCUUGCAGCUGGUAGACGUAAGAGCUGACCUUGUUCUCUUAAGG